AUUGAGGCUGAACGUGCCUCUCGAGCAAAAGCUGAGAAGCAUCGGGCUGACCUCUCAAGAGAGCUAGAGGAGAUCAGUGAGCGCCUGGAAGAAGCAGGAGGGGCUACUGCAGCUCAGAUUGAGAUGAACAAGAAACGUGAGGCAGAAUUUCAGAAGAUGCGUCGUGACCUCGAAGAGGCCACACUGCAGCACGAAGCCACGGCUGCUGCGCUGCGGAAGAAGCAUGCGGACAGCACAGCUGAGCUCGGGGAGCAGAUUGACAACCUGCAACGAGUGAAGCAGAAGCUGGAGAAGGAGAAGAGUGAGCUGAAGAUGGAGAUUGAUGACUUGGCCAGUAACAUGGAGUCUGUCUCCAAAGCCAAGGCAAAUCUGGAGAAGAUGUGUCGCUCCCUAGAAGAUCAACUCAGUGAGAUUAAGACAAAGGAUGAGGAACAACAGCGCACAAUUAAUGACAUCAGUGCUCAGAGAGCUCGGCUACAAACAGAAUCCAGUGAAUAUUCACGCCAAGUGGAGGAGAAAGAUGCUCUGAUUUCUCAGCUGUCUAGAGGGAAGCAGGCAUUCACUCAACAGAUUGAGGAACUCAAGAGGCACCUAGAGGAAGAGACAAAGGCCAAGAAUGCCCUGGCCCAUGCCUUGCAGUCUACUCGCCACGACUGUGACUUGCUGCGGGAACAAUAUGAGGAGGAGCAGGAAGCCAAGGGGGAGCUGCAGCGUGCCCUGUCCAAGGCCAACAGUGAAGUCGCCCAGUGGAGAACCAAAUACGAGACGGAUGCUAUUCAGCGCACAGAGGAGCUGGAGGAGGCCAAGAAGAAGCUGGCACAGCGCCUGCAGGAUGCAGAGGAACACGUCGAAGCUGUCAAUGCCAAAUGUGCUUCCCUGGAAAAGACAAAGCAGAGGCUGCAGAAUGAAGUGGAGGACCUGAUGAUUGAUGUGGAGCGAUUCAAUGCUGCCCGUGGCGGUCUGGAUAAGAACAUUUGACAAGAUCCUGGCAGAGUGGAAGCAGAAGUAUGAGGAAACACAGGCUGAGCUGGAAGCGUCCCAGAAGGAGUCUCGCUCUCUCAGCACAGAGCUGUUCAAGAUGAAGAAUGCCUAUGAGGAGUCCUUGGACCACCUGGAAACGCUGAAGCGUGAGAACAAGAACUUGCAGCAGGAGAUUUCUGACCUCACAGAGCAGAUUGCCGAGGGAGGAAAGACAAUUCAUGAGCUGGAGAAAGUCAAGAAGCAAAUAGAGCAGGAGAAAUCUGAACUCCAAGCCUCCCUGGAAGAAGCUGAGGCCUCCCUAGAACAUGAAGAGGGGAAGAUCCUGCGCCUCCAACUUGAGCUCAACCAGGUGAAGUCAGAGAUUGACAGGAAGAUAGCAGAGAAAGAUGAGGAGAUUGACCAGAUGAAGAGAAACCACCUCCGAGUUGUGGAGUCCAUGCAGAGCACCCUGGAUGCUGAGAUCAGGAGCAGAAAUGAAGCCCUGCGGCUGAAGAAGAAGAUGGAGGGCGACCUGAAUGAAAUAGAGAUCCAGCUGAGCCAUGCCAACCGCAUGGCUGCAGAGGCACAAAAGAACCUGAGAAACAUACAGGGAGUGCUCAAGGAUACCCAGAUGCACUUGGACGAUGCUCUCAGGACACAGGAGGACCUGAAGGAGCAGGUGGCCAUGGUGGAGCGUAGAGCAAACCUCUUGCAGGCUGAAAUUGAGGAGCUACGGGCAGCACUAGAACAAACAGAAAGGUGUAGAAAGGUGGCUGAGCAGGAACUGAUGGAUGCAAGUGAGCGUGUGCAGCUCCUCCAUACCCAGAACACCAGCUUGAUCAACACCAAGAAGAAGCUGGAAACAGACAUUGCCCAAAUUCAGGGUGAAAUGGAAGAAACAGUCCAGGAAGCCCGCAACGCUGAAGAGAAGGCCAAAAAGGCCAUCACAGAUGCAGCCAUGAUGGCGGAAGAGUUGAAGAAGGAGCAGGACACCAGUGCCCACCUGGAGAGGAUGAAGAAGAACCUGGACCAGACAGUGAAGGACCUGCAGCACCGUCUUGAUGAGGCUGAACAGUUGGCUUUGAAGGGAGGCAAGAAACAAAUCCAGAAGUUGGAGGCCAGAGUGCGGGAGCUGGAAGGGGAAGUUGAUGCUGAGCAGAAGCGCAGUGCUGAAGCUGUGAAGGGUGUGCGCAAGUAUGAGAGGUGGGCGGAGGGGAUGCACAACAAGUCUGAAGAAGACAGGAAGAAUGUUCUCAGGCUCCAGGAUCUGGUGGACAAGCUUCAAAUGAAAGUGAAAUCCUACAAGAGACAAGCUGAGGAGGCUGAGGAGCUGUCCAAUGUCAAUCUCACAAAGUUUCGCAAGAUCCAGCAUGAGCUGGAGGAAGCUGAGGAGCGGGCUGACAUUGCAGAAUCGCAGGUCAACAAGCUCCGAGCAAAGAGCCGUGAAAUUGGCAAGAAGGCAGAAAGUGAAGAGUAAAUGCCUUCAGUGAUGUGAAGUGAGAGUUGCACAAAAUGUGAAAUUCUAUCACUUUGAUUUAGUAAUCACUGCUUAGUCCUUCAUCAAUCUCUAGAUAAUUAAUGACUAGAUAAUAAAAAUUGUAGAGAUUUUCCUGUUGAAA